AAAAUGACUCUCGGCAACGGAUAUCUCGGCUCUCGCAUCGAUGAAGAACGUAGCGAAAUGCGAUACUUGGUGUGAAUUGCAGAAUCCCGUGAACCAUCGAGUCUUUGAACGCAAGUUGCGCCCGAAACCAUUAGGUCGAGGGCACGUCUGCCUGGGUGUCACAC
rnacentral:rRNA from 11 species